rnacentral:lncRNA from 1 species
CGGCUGUUUUAUAAUUUUUUAUUUUUUAGUAGAGACAAGGUCUUACUCUUUCCCAGUCUGGUCUCGAAUUCCUGAUCUCAGGUGAUCCUCCACCUUGGUCCCUGAAAGUGUUGGGAUUAUGGGCAUGAGCCACUUUGCCCAGCCUGGAAAGAAUGUUUUUGAAAGAUGAUGUUAAUAAAGAACAAACAGGAUUCCACUGAUUAAAUUAGGACAUGUGCACAUUCUGUGCCCCAAACAGGAGUAUGAGUGUGUCACUUUCUAUAUAGGAAAAUGAGUGCAGAGAAUGGACAGCAGAGGGAGCCCUUGAUGAGUUUUGACCAUCAAGAGAUGCCAAAAUGGAACCAAAUCUCCAUGAACUCUGCUAAUGGAAGACGAGGAAAAGGCAGGUAAGUGAAAUUCUCAGAUACAUCCCAACAGCAGUUCAACACUGUCCU